CUAAGCCAUGCGAGUCAUUGUAGCAAUACAAGGCAGACGGCUCAGUAACGCGUAGUCAACCUACCCUAUGGACGGGAAUAACCUCGGGAAACUGAGAAUAAUGCCCGAUAGAACAUUAUGCCUGGAAUGGCUUUUGUUCCAAAUGAUUUAUCGCCGUAGGAUGGGACUGCGGCCUAUCAGUUUGUUGGUGAGGUAAUGGCCCACCAAGACUAUUACAGGUACGGGCUCUGAGAGGAGUAGCCCGGAGAUGGGUACUGAGACACGGACCCAGGCCCUAUGGGGCGCAGCAGGCGAGAAAACUUUGCAAUGUGCGAAAGCACGACAAGGUUAAUCCGAGUGGUUUCUGCUAAAGGAACCUUUUGACAGUCCUAGAAACACUGUUGAAUAAGGGGUGGGCAAGUUCUGGUGUCAGCCGCCGCGGUAAAACCAGCACCUCAAGUUGUCAGGAUGAUUAUUGGGCCUAAAGCAUCCGUAGCCGGCUCUGUAAGUUUUCGGUUAAAUCUGUACGCUCAACGUACAGGCUGCCGGGAAUACUGCAGGGCUAGGGAGUGGGAGAGGUAGACGGUACUCUGGAGGAAGUGGUAAAAUGCUUUGAUCUCUAGAUGACCACCUGUGGCGAAGGCGGUCUACCAGAACACGUCCGACGGUGAGGGAUGAAAGCUGGGGGAGCAAACCGGAUUAGAUACCCGGGUAGUCCCAGCUGUAAACUAUGCAAACUAAGUGAUGCAUUGGCUUGUGGCCA
rnacentral:rRNA from 1 species